CUUUUUGCGGUCUGGGCUUGCUGUUCCUCUCAGCAGUAGUCAGGAAGCCCUUACCCCAAAAAGUAU
rnacentral:pre_miRNA from 1 species